GGUACCAUGGCUCAGUUGGUUAAAGCACCUGUCUUGUAAACAGGAAGUCCUGGGUUCAAAUCCCAGUGGUACCU